GUAGUACUCCCUCUGUUCGGAAAUACUUGUCUUAGGAAUGGUUGUAUCUAGACUUAUUUUAGUUAUAGAUACAUCCAUUUUAUCCACUUCUAGGAUAAGUAUUUCCGGACGGAGGGAGUAUGUG
rfam:Triticum aestivum genome assembly, contig: Triticum_aestivum_CS42_TGACv1_scaffold_515058_6BS